AUGGGGAACUCUGCUGCAGGGAACAGGGAUUUGAAAACCCAUGGAGACCUCCCAGGUCCCUGCUCCAGCAAUAUGAACCAGGGAUUGCUGGGAACGUGUGGAAGAGCUGUGGAAAGCGGUGGCUCAAGAGCCAGGAUGUGGAUCAGCUAUCAGGAAAAUUCCUUCUGGAAAGGGCUGUCUAGCCCUGGAACAGGCAGUGGUGGAGUCCCUGUUCUGCAGGGAUUUAAAGCCGUGUGGAUGUGGCACCUGGGCACAUGGGGCCUUGGCAGGGCUGGGGGACCGUUGGACCCAAGGAUCUCAGAGGGCUUUUCCAACCCCAGCAAUUCUGUUGAAAGGCUGGAAGGUAUCAGGAGGAACCGGAGUGAAGCCACACGUGGGCCAAAACCACAGGGAGGGCUGGGAGGGAAGACACCAAGGUGGCACAUGCCAGCACCUCACAGAGCAGCCUCACCCCACCAUCUCCACAGGCUGCAUUCCCGUGUCCAGAUCCUCUUCCACUGUCCAAUGACAAAAUCCCAAGGCUCUCUAGCAAUACCUCUCCAAGCACCAGGGCCAUGCACCUCUGCCCUGGGACGCUGUCAGAGCCCCGGAUUGCUGGGGAAGGGGAAGCACAUCCUCCCUGGCACCCUGGAACUCACCUGCACCAACUUCCAUGGGCAUAGGAUCCUCUCCCGAAGCCUCUUCCUGCCGCUCCAUCUCUUCUGGUGGCAGUGGGUGCUUCUGAUUGUUGGGGACAGCUGUCUGGAGGGGGUUCUGACUGUCCCCAGUCUGUGUCUGAAGCAGUGUCUGGCUGUCCCCAGUGUGUGCUUGUGGGGACUUGGGGCUGUUCCCAUUCUGUGUCUGUGGGGGUUUCGGGCUGUUCCCACUCUGUGUCCUUGGGGACUCUGGGCUGUUCCCACUNNNNNNNNNNGGCUGUUCCCACUCUGUGUCCUUGGGGACUCUGGGCUGUUCCCACUCCGUGUCCAUGAGGAUUUCGGGCUGUCCCCAGUCUCUCUUUGUGGGGAGUUCUGGCUGUCCCCAUUCUCUAUCUGUAGGAUUUUCUGGCUGUUCCCACUCCAUGUCCAUGAGGAUUUUGGGCUGUCCCCAGUCUGUAUUUGUGGGGGUUUCUGGCUGUUCCCACUCNNNNNNNNNNUGUUCCCACUCCGUGUCCAUGAGGAUUUUGGGCUGUCCCCAGUCUGUGUCUGUGGGGUUUUCUGGCUGUUCCCACUCCGUGUCCGUGGGGAUUUUGGGCUGUUCCUGAUCUGUGUCUCUGGGGGCUCCUGGCUGUCCCCAUUCUGUAUCUGUGGGGUUUUCUGGCUGUCCCCAUUCUGUGUCCAUGAGGGCUCGGGACCCUUUUCGUUGCUGAGCUCUUCAUCCCUCUUGAUGCGGG
rnacentral:lncRNA from 1 species